rnacentral:rRNA from 1 species
UACGUAGGGUGCAAGCGUUGUCCGGAAUCAUUGGGCGUAAAGCGCGCGUAGGUGGUCAUGUAAGUCCGCUGUGAAAGUCAAAGGCUCAACCUUUGAAAGCCGAUGGAUACUGCAUGACUAGAGUACGGAAGAGGCGAGUGGAAUUCCGGGUGUAGCGGUGGAAUGCGUAGAGAUCCAGAAGAACACCGGUGGCGAAGGCGGCCUGCUGGGCAGUAGCUGACGCUGAGGCGCGACAGCGUGGGGAGCAAACAGG